UCGAUCGAGUGCCCGCACUGCUGUU
rnacentral:piRNA from 1 species